UCGAAAUACCAUAUUACUUUUGAAAAAUAAAAAAGCAAUCUUUUUUCGCAUAUAACGUAAAAUUCACUCCAAUCCUUUCGGAGCAUGUUCAACUGCGAUCUAGCGGCACUCCCAGUUACGGUGAAUUUCUAAAGAAUAAAAAGAAUCACGUUUUGAUGGUGUAAUCUUGUCAUCGUGUCAAAGUAGUAACAUGAACUCAAACCACAUUCUAUCACAAAAGUACAGUGGUUUUUGGAUAAAGAACUUAUACAGAUGUAAUAAACGCACAUAUUCAUGAAUACGGCCGUGAGGAACAACAUAAUCUCUAUGUUGCAUCCUCAAUUUGCCAACAUGGAUAAACACGCACACGCGAUACGGACACUCACCACUAACGUAUAAGAUCAUGCAUCGCGAUUGUUGCGGAAUGGUUGUUCACUCUGCGAACGAACCGUCGUGAUGCUACGCAGGAUUUUACAGACGCUCGUACCGGGAUUCGAUCAGAACUAACAUUCUUGUUUUCCUAUUUAUCUCCAUUUCUUCGUUAUUAUUAACGAAGGUCAGUUAAAAAAAAUGAAGAAAUAGUUAAUCUUAAUUAACGAACAGAAGUAUUCGUUAUAACAUCCAUUUUACAAACACAGUUUACAUCUGAUGUGAAAUGGAAAGUCUCCCACAGCCACCUUUAUCACUAAAAGCACCAUUCACAAUGACGCAUUUGCAUCAUGUCUAUUUGUGCUUCUAACUACUACUGUUGGCAACAUUUAUGUGUAUUUCCUCUAGAAAAUCUACUAUUUUCAUUUCAAUUCAUUUAUUCUUGAGUUUUCGAUUUUAUUAUUUCCCAAUUAAAAAAAAAGAAAAUAGGAUAAAAGGUCACUAAGAAUUUAUCAAUCUAGAAGUUUUUUUAAUUAUAGAAAUUUUCGUUGCUCUUUUUUAAAAUACUUUAUUCCUAUUCUUUUCUUUUUUGCGCAUGCGUUCUUUCUUUUGUUUUUUUACUAAAUAUUCAGACUACUAAACUAUAAAGAUUGCCUUUUCAAAUUUUUUUGUAUAAAUUAUCAUUCGUGCCAAUUUUUUAAAACUAUAAAUUAAAUUUUAUUUAUAUUUAUUAAUAUUUGAUAUAAAAUAGAUUGUAAAAAAUUUAUUGUAAUUUUUCUUCAAUUGCUUAAAUAGAAUACUUAAAAAAAUUGU